rnacentral:tRNA from 1 species
AGUAAAGUCAGCUAAAAAAGCUUUUGGGCCCAUACCCCAAAAAUGUUGGUUUAACCCCUUCCUCUACUA